GACGAACGCUGGCGGCGUGCUUAACACAUGCAAGUCGAACGGAAAGGCCCUGCUUUUGUGGGGUGCUCGAGUGGCGAACGGGUGAGUAACACGUGAGUAACCUGCCCUUGACUUUGGGAUAACUUCAGGAAACUGGGGCUAAUACCGGAUAGGAGCUCCUGCUGCAUGGUGGGGGUGGGAAAGUUUCGGCGGUUGGGGAUGGACUCGCGGCUUAUCAGCUUGUUGGGGGGGUAGUGGCUUACCAAGGCUUUGACGGGUAGCCGGCCUGAGAGGGUGACCGGCCACAUUGGGACUGAGAUACGGCCCAGACUCCUACGGGAGGCAGCAGUGGGGGAUAUUGCACAAUGGGCGGACGCCUGAUGCAGCAACGCCGCGUGCGGGAUGACGGCCUUCGGGUUGUAAACCGCUUUCGCCUGUGACGAAGCGUGAGUGACGGUAAUGGGUAAAGAAGCACCGGCUAACUACGUG
rnacentral:rRNA from 1 species